rnacentral:rRNA from 1 species
AUUUAAAAAUUUAAUUAGGUUAUUUGUUUUAGAAUUUUUAUUUUAAAUAUAAAGGUGUUUAUUAUCGUUAGAGAAUAAAUUGAUUUAUUUAUAGGGGAUUAGUAUAGAGAUUGAAAAUUUAAAAGUUUAUAAAAGAAGGAUUAAUUUUUUGUACCUUGUGUAUCAGGGUUUACUAAAAAAAUUUAACUAUUUAGUUUUCUCGAAUUAUAAAGAGUUAUAAGUUUAUUUUGGUUAAUGUAGCAUAAUUAUGUCAAAUGGGCUUAUGGAAAUGAAACGUUAUUCGUUUUAUAAUAUAUCUAGUUUUCUAAGAAAUAAAUACAAUUUAGUUCUUAUAUAAUAUUAACAUGAAUAAUCAUUUUAAUAUUUUUAAGUUUAAAUAGUUAUAGGGAUGAGCUUAUAAUUAAAUCACUAAAAUUUAAUAUCUUUUGAUAAUAACUAGGAUUAGAAUUUUCCAUUUUUAAAAGGAUGUCAUAAUUGGUUAUCUUAUGUAAAUUAUUUAUAAGAAAUUUAGGUUUAAUAUUAGAAUGUGUUUUUUAAUUAAAUAAAAACAGUAAUAAUGGUAAAAUUAGUAAAGUUUAUUUGUAUGAGUAAGUAUUGAUUUAAAAGGUUAAUAUAAGGAACUCGGCAAAAUUAUUUCUCACCUGUUUAAUAAAAACAUGGCUUUUUGUGAAUUGUUUAAGGUCUGGCCUGCUCCAUGAUUGAAUUUAAAUAGCCGCAGUAUUUUGACUGUGCAAAGGUAGCAUAAUCAUUAGUUUUUUAAUUGAAAGCUGGAAUGAAGGGUCGGAUGAGGAAAUGACUGUCUCAUGUUAAUUGAAGUUGAAUUUUAUUUUUAAGUUAAAAAGCUUAAAUGAAAUAAAAAGACGAGAAGACCCUAUAGAGUUUAAUAGAAUACCAUAUAUAAAAAUUUAGGUUUUAAGUUAUUUAUAUGUAUUUCUAUUUGGUUGGGGUGACAAAAGAAUUGAAUUAACUUCUUUAUGUUUUAACAUUGAUUAAUGAAUAUUUGAUCCUUUAUUAGAGAUUAAAAGAAUAAAUUACCUUAGGGAUAACAGCGUUAUUCUUUCAGAGAGUUCUAAUCGAAGAAAGAGAUUGCGACCUCGAUGUUGGAUUAAAGUUAAUUUCUGGUGCAGAAGCUAGAAUAUUGAGUCUGUUCGACUUUUGAAACUUUACAUGAUCUGAGUUUAAACCGGCGUGAGCCAGGUUGGUUUCUAUCUUUUAUAAUAUUUAAUAUUUUAGUACGAAAGGACCAGAUAUUAGAAUUAAAUUUUAUUUAUUGAAUAUUAUU